AACGAAUGCUGGCGGCGUGCCUAAUACAUGCAAGUCGAACGAGAAAGCCCUUCGGGGUGAGUAGAGUGGCGCACGGGAGAGUAAUGCAUAGGAACGUACCGUAAAGUGGGGGAUAACCAUUGGAAACGAUGGCUAAUACCGCAUGUGGAAGCAAUUCUAAAGGUGGCCUCUAUUUAUAAGCUACCGCUUUAUGAUCGGCCUAUGUCCCAUUAGCUUGUUGGUGAGGUAACGGCUCACCAAGGCUACGAUGGGUAGCUGGUCUGAGAGGAUGAUCAGCCUCACUGGGACUGAGACACGGCCCAGACUCCUACGGGAGGCAGCAGUAGGGAAUAUUGCACAAUGGACGCAAGUCUGAUGCAGCAACGCCGCGUGUGUGAAGAAGGCUCUUGGGUCGUAAAGCACUUUCGAUUGGGAAGAAGGGUUUCUAUUCAAAUAGGGUAGAAAUUUGACGGUACCUAAAGAAGAAGCACCGGCUAACUCCG
rnacentral:rRNA from 1 species